AUUUUCCUUAGGAACUAUUUUAUAAGUAACACCGCUCUUUGAUGCGCCAUGUGAAAAGGCUAACCUUGUUUUAGGCUUACAGUCUUUACUGCCCAGUGAGUAAUGGAAACGUGUUUCUUCUUUCAAAUAUUUCAAUAUUGUUAUUAGGUAUUAUUUAUAUUAUCUUCAUUGUUGAUCCUGUGUUUAAUGACAUCGAUAUUUCGAGAGUUUUGUUACACGAACCCCGGCCGUGUCUGGCCUGCUGAGUUGUCAACAUUAACAGAUGUUGUUGACAACUUCAAAGCUAUUUAAUUAUUUUAGUCCUUUAAUUUCAUAACUAUUUACAGUUUAAUCUUCUGUUGCUUUCCCCACCCACCCCUCUAAUUAUUUGGCCAGUUAAUGGUAACUUAUAAAGAUUCUAGGACGACCUUUUUGCUGUAUUUAGUUAGGUUUUGAGUUCAAAUCUCAUUCGAGUCAACUUUCCUUUGAGAUUCUCCGUCAUUUCCUACUUGUGAUUCAAGUUAAAGACCAGACAGAAUCGGACACGGACCCUGGUUACUUCAUAUUUUUGUGUCAGAUUAGAUAAAAUGUGAAACUUUAAAGACAGAAAAUGAAAGCGGAAAUGCAGAUGGUAAAAUGUAGUUAAAUUCAGAUUUAUGCAGCUGCUGCAACAAUUAUCUGCAUUAUUAUUUCUAAAAAUAAUUUUCCGUAAGGUAUAAAGCAGUCACUAUUAAAUGUAUUAGAGAUUGCACAUACUAAAAUUCUUCAAAUGAAUAUAUAGAGCUCAUUUUUACAAAGAAUAAUAUUCUCCCGACAUCUGUUAUCAGUUGCUAAAUUUAGUUCUUCGCAUAUGUUCAAGUGUGAAGAGAACGAAAUAUCACUCGUUCCACGUCAUUGCAUUUUUUUUUUGUUUUUUUUUUUUUGCAACCAUCGCCGACUGUUUUGUCAUCUUUGUACAGAAUUUUGUAGCAGCAACGUAUAUGGAGAAACUAAGCACAUUUCGUUGUUUCCGUUUAGGUUUUUAAUUUCCCAUUUUCAAUCUGAUACGGAUAUAGGACUUAAAUCCUUUUACAAAUCAGCAUUAUAAAUGUCCAACUUUUGAGCGCUUUUUCGUUUCCAAGAUCUGAUGAAAGUGCAAGUAUUUACCGUGUUAGGGUCAGGUCAAUCUGUAUAUUAUUGAGGGCGAAAAUAAAGUUUUAUUUUGUUUAUUUUUCAUACAACCUGUAAACUAAUCCAAUACUUUGUAAUAUAAUUGUCAAAUCCAUCAUUUAAAAAUGUAUAACACCUCAAACUAAAAGAUCGAUUCUAAUUAUGUAGGAUAAUUGUCAUCUCAUUUCUUUUGACAUAAUUCCACUGCAUUUACGGUUUGUUGCACGUGGAAGUAGAUCAAACAAUGGAAUUAUUGAUCAUCACGUACUUAAAACUAAUCAGAUUGAAGGCUUUGUAUAGCAUCCAGAGAUCGCUUUCAACAGUAAAGGAAUGUUACGGGACAUCUAACAGUGUUGCAUUUAUUCUAUCAUCUAAUGCAAUCAGAAAGAAAAAAACACCUUAACUAACUUCCUGGACUCUAACGAGUUUUCAUGGAAUGGCAAACAUUAGUGUCCGACUGAGUGCUUUCAUCAGUUUCAACAGUGGGACCAAUGUCAUCGAAUUGAAUUGGAAUUUUAAUAGAAUGCUCUGUAUAUAACAUCAGGGUAUUAGUUUUUCCAGUUUUACCAUCAACUGUUAUUACUUUCAUGUUCGUCAUGUCAUAUGCUCAAUAAUACACGAGAUUGAUGACUUGCAAUGAAAUAGUUUUCCUUGGGAAAUAUAGCCCUUUUGCAAUGAUAAUUUCUCGUGACAAACGUGUGGUACACCUCAAUUAUUAUCUACCUGCGCAAUGCAAGGUCUACGAUGAGCUUCGUGGUUCUCACCACAACCAGGACAAAGUUGAAUGCAAUGAAAGAGACCAUAAUUUGCAGAAAAGUAACUGUGUCUCGUGUAUUUACAGUUGAUCGAUCUCGUCUGCCAACUUUUAAUAUACUUGGGUUAGUUUAUUGCUAUUAUUUGCUCACGUCAAUUAGGAUUGUAAUAAAAGUAUUUGGUUGAUCGAACUUCGGCAAACCUUCACAAGUGUGCCUUCCCCCGGAAUUUGUUUCCUCAUAACUUUCAGAAAAAUGGGUAUAUUUUUUAUGAAAUUUUCUGCAAGUGCUUUUCAGACUGUGUAGAUUACGAUUAAUUUAACAUGAAAAAAAAAAAAAGUGAUGGGCCCCACUGAUACAUACUGACACACAUUCAGUAUGUUUACAGAAUGAAAAUUGUGAUGUGUGUUAGUAUAAAUGUGUACACGCCCAUCAUUUUUCUUAUUGAUUUCCAAUAUAAUCGUAAUCUGCAUACUCUGAAAAGCAUUUGUAGAAAAUUUCAUUAAAAAAUACCCGUUUUUCUGAAAGUUAGGAAACAAAACCUACUCGGGUCAAUUUUUCGAAACUUCUCUUCCUGCUCUGGGAAGAGAACAAUUUUUUUACAAUAAAUUUCAUAGAAACAGAAUCUACAACAUCUGAAGCAUAUUUGUAGAAAACUUCAUCAAAAUAUAUUCUCUUUUUUUUUUUCUUUUUUUUUUAUGAAAGUUAUGAGGGAAGAAAGUCAGUGGGGACAGAAUUGUGUAGUUAUGCCCUAACUUCAGUACCUUACUGGAUGUAGUAACUAGCUAUCACCCAACUGCCUACAAUGUUUUCAUUCCUUAAUAGUUUUGUUUUCUACUUUUGGCCUCAUAUUUUUGGUAAACAAAAAUAUAUUUAUUUUUUCAUCUGAAAUUAAACAUAUAAGUAAAUACUUUUAUUUUCAUGGGAGUCUGGAAACAAAGGAUCAUGCUGGAUUCUAAGUAAAAAAAGUUGUUUAUAUUAUUUGCUGUUAUUUAGUGGUAGAUGUAUAAAAUUUAGAAACAGUUCUGGACUCUGUCCCGGAAGAAAACUUUUUAAUCUAUUUCAAAUUCAGGACUUUUGUUUAAAUUGUUUUGUCAAUCACGCAAUAUAAAGGUUGAGUGGAAAACAUUUGAACUUCACUGUAGGUAUCAGUUGGUCUUAAUUGAGGCUUGACUGUUACCUGCAAAAGUCUUUUCUGUUAUUAAACCAAUGAAAUUCUUUGUCAUAUAUCUAUUCCACUUACCUUGCUCCUUGUUUUUUUUUCCAGUGCUCUGAAGAUCCAGACUUUUGGUUUCCCCAUUUAAGGAAGGUCUCCAAGUACCUUUUGGGGAACAUUCACGUUUUGUGACUGCCUUAACUGCAUAUCACUUGAAUUUCAACAUUGGAAUAUGGUAUUUGCUUUAAUGAUAUCUUUGGUGUUUGAUAGUUUUGAUUACAAUCUGUUUGCCAAAGAAGUAAAUCUCACCUUAAUCUUCUUCUUUGACCUGGCUUGGAAAUUGGGACAAGAAAUUCCGUCGUUAUUAACCAUUGCACUUACAAUGGUCAGCAUCUCUGAGGAGGAGUAAUAGUGUCCACAAGAACAACACCAUCAAUUUGAUCAUCUUUUGUGGACCCAACCAUGCAGCAAAUAUCUUCCUUUCAACUUUAUUGGACUAACUUGGUGCGGACUGAAUUCAUGCUAAAUGACUUGUCAUGGCGAUUUUAGCUGUUUACGACUGCUCAAGUUGUAUCUUUUCUCUACUAAUUACUAGUAUGCAUGUCAGUGUAGUUUGAUUUCCUCUUUUGACAGUGAAUGAAUGGAUGUGGAUGUAAGCUAUCUCUAAAUUAAAAAAUAUAAUUAACACAUACAUACAUACAUCUAUAUUGCAGUUUCACAGUAAUUUUGGAUAGUAGCAUGGCUGCAACAGUAUUUUCUUUUUAAUUAAAAUUUUUUAAAUAGUAGCAGUUGUUCUUCACACUUGGAGAAUACCUUUCUGCUAAAUCAUUCUAACAUGAUUUAAUAAUGCUGAGUUUACACCUGAGGCAAGUAGAGGUUUGUGUUGCCCUGAAAUUUGUACCCAUGACCAUGAGGUUAGCUGUGCAGCAUUUUAAUCCUUUCAUUACCAACCUGGCUGAAACUGCCUCUCGCUCUGUAGCACAAGAUCUUCCACCAAACCUUAGUCACAGUUUAUGUUCCUAACACUAGCUUAAAGAUAACCAAGUUAUUUGUUAUAUUUAAAGUUAUUGAAAGAAACACAGAGCAUCUCGAAAUAAAUAUGGUAACAAAAGGGUUAAGCUCACUAAUAUUAUUAAUCAAGGCAGUGGGCUGGCGGAACCAUUACCAUGCUGGACAAAAUGCUUUGCAGCAUUUCUUCUGGCUAGGUUCUUGGUUCAAAUGCCACCAAGGUCCGCUUUGCCUUUCAUCUUCUUGCCAUCGAUAAAAUAAGUACCAGUGGAACACUGGGGUCAAUGUAAUUGACUUGUCCCUUCCCCACAAAUCUCAGGCCUUAUAUUUCUGAUACAUAAAUAUUCUCUAUAUUGCAGGUAUUUGUUACUAACACUUUAUUCACUAAGAAAAAAAUUUUUACUUUCCCAUUUUUACUACUUUUCAACACAAGAUUAAUUUCAAAUAGACUUCGUUCAGCUUUUUUUUUGUCUUUCUGCUGUCAAUUUCUAAUUAAAGUAUUGUACCCUACUUGACCUCAGUCUGUCUUCAGCGUAAAACAAUUGACACUUCUACCCUAAGACUAAAUGAAGGAUAAACCAACAGUGGAAACAAUAGGUUAACAUUAAAAAUACACUCAAUUUUAAAAAUUCAAUUCACUUAUAAAAUAACAAUCACACAUGCAUUCUCUCUCUCUCUGAAUAUUUGGAGAACUACUCACAUAUAUUUUGGACAGUGCUACUGCUGCUGGACGUAUAUGCAUCCAAGACUGCAGCCAAAAGAAGGACAGUGAAUAGCAUGGUAAUGAUUCAUUUAGCAACAUGCUGCAAUCCUAGUCUCACAGAUGUGCAUUUUCCUCUUCCGUUGCUACUACAAUGGCCUAUGUGCUGCUUCAAAACUGUUAGUUGUAUAUCUUCUCCUCCCAGACACAUCUGUCUCUCAUUUUCCUGACACCUUCACCGGAUCUCACCACCCAGACCCUUCUGCAUGGAACAACUACUCCUUAUUCUUUCUUACCAGGACCGCAAAUAUCAGUUUGUGAGUGAGGCCUGCACAGAUCAUGGCCACUGCCCCUGCAUCCCUGAUUAAAUUAUAUUAACCCCGCCCUCCCACUCCCAAAUAUUUUGUAAUAUUUCAUGGUUUAGGUGAAAUCAGAGAGCUGUUGAAACAAACACUGUGAUUUACAAUGGAACGUUGGCUGCUGGAACUUUUAAGUUGGCUCAUUUGUAGUUUAAUAACAUUAAUGUUAAAAAAAGAACAGAGACAUGUAUAUUAAUUAUAUUUUUUCUUCAUAAACUUUGUAUGCUGGAGCAUGUGUUCACAUGUUUAUUAGUUUUAAACUAUUGUAGUUUAUUUCUAAAUUAUAUUGGAUUCAGAAUAUGAAAAAUAAACUGUUAUGUUAGGAAUUCAACUAUAUUCUCGUGCAUACACUGAAGCAAAAUAAAAAUGCUUUCUUUUUCUCUACACUAACAUUAAAAAAAAAUUGUUUUCCUUCACUUUAAGCCAAAAAAAAAGAAAAAUGCCUUAGAUUAUAAUUUUUUUUUUUUUUUCCUAUUUUCAACGAAUUCCUAUAAUGUGACCACCUCCACAGAAAUUUUGCUGCAACAUUUUUUGGCGGUAUUUCCUAACAACUAUUUUUUAAUAAAUAUUUCUUCAUAAUUUUG
rnacentral:lncRNA from 1 species